rnacentral:rRNA from 1 species
UACAGAGGUCUCGAGCGUUAGGCGGAAUCACUGGGCUUAAAGCGUGUGUAGGCAGGUCGUUAAGUACCUUGUGAAAUCCCAUGGCUCAACCAUGGAACUGCUGGGUAUACUGGCGAUCUUGUGCAACCUAGGGGCGAGCGGAACAGAUGGUGGAGCGGUGAAAUGCGUAGAUAUCAUCUGGAACGCCAAUGGUGAAAACAGCUCGCUGGGGGUUUGCAGACGCUGAGACACGAAAGCCAGGGGAGCGAACGGG